rnacentral:tRNA from 1 species
GGAGGGGUGGCGGAGAGGUUACGCGUCCGCCUGCAGAGCGGAUAUGUGGGUUCGAAUCCCACCCCCUCCU